GCCUCCGUGAUGUAAUUGGAAAGCACGUCCGGCUGGUACUCAGGAGUCCCGGAGUUCGAAUCUCGGCUAAGGCA
rnacentral:tRNA from 1 species